CGUAGGGUGCGAGCGUUGUCCGGAAUUAUUGGGCGUAAAGGGCUCGUAGGCGGUUUGUCGCGUCGGGAGUGAAAACACUGGGCUUAACUCAGUGCUGGCUUCCGAUACGGGCAGACUAGAGGUAUGCAGGGGAGAACGGAAUUCCUGGUGUAGCGGUGAAAUGCGCAGAUAUCAGGAGGAACACCGGUGGCGAAGGCGGUUCUCUGGGCAUUACCUGACGCUGAGGAGCGAAAGUGUGGGGAGCGAACAGGAUU
rnacentral:rRNA from 1 species